rnacentral:rRNA from 1 species
AUUGAACGCUGGCGGCGUGCUUAACACAUGCAAGUCGAUCGGUAACAGGUGUAGCAAUACAUGCUGACGAGAGGCGGACGGGUGAGUAAUGCUUGGGAAUCUGCCUAUUAGUGGGGGACAACCCGGGGAAACUCGGGCUAAUACCGCAUACGCUCUACGGAGGAAAGCCGGGGACCGCAAGGCCUGGCGCUAAUAGAUGAGCCCAAGUCGGAUUAGCUAGUUGGUAGGGAACGGCCUACCAAGGCGACAAUCCGUAGCUGGUCUGAGAGGACGACCAGCCACACCGGAACUGAGACACGGUCCGGACUCCUACGGGAGGCAGCAGUGGGGAAUAUUGGACAAUGGGGGCAACCCUGAUCCAGCGACGCCGCGUGGGUGAAGAAGGCCUGCGGGUGUAAAGCCCUUUCGGUGGGGAAGAAAAGUCUCGACCUAAUACGUCGGGACCUUGACGUAACCCACUAAAGAAGCACCGGCUAACUCUGUGCCAGCCGCCGCGGUAAU